rnacentral:rRNA from 1 species
AUUGAACGCUGGCGGCAUGCUUUACACAUGCAAGUCGAACGGUAACAGGUCUUCGGAUGCUGACGAGUGGCGAACGGGUGAGUAAUGCAUCGGAACGUGCCCAGUCGUGGGGGAUAACGCAGCGAAAGCUGUGCUAAUACCGCAUACGAUCUAUGGAUGAAAGCGGGGGAUCGCAAGACCUCGCGCGAUUGGAGCGGCCGAUGUCAGAUUAGCUAGUUGGUGGGGUAAAGGCCCACCAAGGCGACGAUCUGUAGCUGGUCUGAGAGGACGACCAGCCACACUGGGACUGAGACACGGCCCAGACUCCUACGGGAGGCAGCAGUGGGGAAUUUUGGACAAUGGGCGCAAGCCUGAUCCAGCAAUGCCGCGUGCAGGACGAAGGCCUUCGGGUUGUAAACUGCUUUGUACGGAACGAAAGGUAGCUCCUAAUACGAGCUGCUGAUGACGGUACCGUAAGAAUAAGCACCGGCUAAC